GUGCUCAACUAGGCAACACAUAUACUAAAAUUUGAAUGAUACAGAGAUAAUGAUCAUGGUCCCUGUGCAAGGAUGAUAUACAAAUUCAUGAAGCUUUCCAUAUUUUU